rnacentral:rRNA from 1 species
GACGUAGGGCGCGAGCGUUGUCCGGAUUUAUUGGGCGUAAAGAGCUCGUAGGCGGUCUGUCGCGUCUGCCGUGAAAACCCGAGGCUUAACCUCGGGCUGACGGUGGAUACGGGCAGACUAGAGGUAGGUAGGGGAGAAUGGAAUUCCCGGUGUAGCGGUGAAAUGCGCAGAUAUCGGGAGGAACACCGGUGGCGAAGGCGGUUCUCUGGGCCUUACCUGACGCUGAGGAGCGAAAGCAUGGGGAGCGAACAGG